rnacentral:rRNA from 1 species
CGGGUGGUAAUGCCGGAUGUUCCACAUGAUCGCAUGUGAUUGUGGGAAAGAUUCUAUCGGCGUGGGAUGGGGUCGCGUCCUAUCAGCUUGUUGGUGAGGUAACGGCUCACCAAGGCUUCGACGGGUAGCCGGCCUGAGAGGGCGACCGGCCACAUUGGGACUGAGAUACGGCCCAGACUCCUACGGGAGGCAGCAGUGGGGAAUAUUGCACAAUGGGCGCAAGCCUGAUGCAGCGACGCCGCGUGAGGGAUGGAGGCCUUCGGGUUGUAAACCUCUUUUGUUUGGGAGCAAGCCUUCGGGUGAGUGUACCUUUCGAAUAAGCGCCGGCUAACUACGUGCCAGCAGCCGCGGUAAUACGUAGGGCGCAAGCGUUAUCCGGAUUUAUUGGGCGUAAAGGGCUCGUAGGCGGCUCGUCGCGUCCGGUGUGAAAGUCCAUCGCUUAACGGUGGAUCUGCGCCGGGUACGGGCGGGCUGGAGUGCGGUAGGGGAGACUGGAAUUCCCGGUGUAACGGUGGAAUGUGUAGAUAUCGGAAAGAACACCA